CGCCUGUUUACAAAAACAUGUCUUUAUGUAGUUAAAUAAAGUCUAGCCUGCCCACUGAAAAUUUAUUUAAAGGGCCGCGGUAAUUUGACUGUGCAAAGGUAGCAUAAUCAUUAGCUUUUUAAUUGAAGGCUUGUAUGAAUGGUUGAACAAGAAUUAAACUGUCUUUACGCUUAAAUUUGAACUUUACUUUUAAGUGAAAAGGCUUAAAUGAAUUUAAGGGACGAUAAGACCCUAUAAAUCUUUAUAAGAUAAGUUUUUAUUUAUGAAAUAUUUAGUCAAAGCUUAUAAAUAAAAUUUUAAUUAUUUUACUGGGGCGGUAUUAAUAUAAAAUAAACUGUUAAAUAUUUUUACAAGUUAAUUGAAAGGUAAAAGGUCUUUUUUAAAAAUAAAUAGUUUAAGUUACUUUAGGGAUAACAGCAUAAUCUUUUUUGAGAGUUCUUAUCGAAAAAAAGGUUUGUGACCUCGAUGUUGAAUUAAAAUUUCUUUGUGGUGAAGCAGUCAUAAAAGAUAGUCUGUUCGACUAUUAAAUUUUUACAUGAUUUGAGUUCAAACCGGUGUGAGCCAGGUUGGUUUUUCUAUCU
rnacentral:rRNA from 1 species